CUGCACACUUAAGAGCAAGCUGCUCAUGCGCUGUGCAGGAGUCAGUGCCACUCAGGACACAGCAUGGACAUGAGGGCCCCUGCUCAGCUCCUGGGGCUCCUGCUGCUCUGGCUCUCAGGUGCCACACAUGCCUUGGAUGUGACCCAGACUCCAACCACGGUGUCUGCAGCUGUGGGAGACAUAGUCACCAUCAAUUGCAAGACGAGUCAGAGUGUUAGCAGCUAUCUAGCCUGGUAUCAGCAGAAACCAGUGCUGCCCCCGAAGCCUCCAAAGCUCCUGAUCUAUGCUGCAUCCAGUUUAGCCUCUGGGGUGCCUGCCAGGUUCAAGGGCAGUGGAUCUGGGACAUCAUUCACUCUCACCAUCAAUGGGGUGCAGCCUGAGGAUGCAGGAAUCUACUACUGUGUUGGAGCUUAUAGUUAUGCUGGUGAUACUAACACAGUGAUACAAGCCUGAACAAAAACCAGCCAGGAAAGCAGAAGUGUGAGUUUGGGCUGCACCAAAUGCCUGUCUUGAGGUCUGUAUCUGCUAAGAGUCAUUCUCAGAUGUAGUCAGUCUUCCAUGGUCCCUGGAAGGUAGUUAGAAAGAUCCCUGGGCUCCCAUGUAGCCUCUGUCUCUUUCUUCCAACUUGGCACCUGCAUCAUAGACACAUGUAUGUUUCUACUGAUUUAAAGGAAAGAAGUGAUUUUGCCCGAGUUCUCAACGUUAC